UGUCUUAGAUGAUUAAGUAUGGUUUAUAUUAAAAUUUUUAGGGUUUUAUCAUGUAAUAAUAAAAUGUUAAAUUUAUGUGAUAUAUGUACGAUUUGGAGCUCAAGCUUAGGGAUUAAUUAUGUUUCAAUUUUAACAAGGUGUUUAGGCAAUGAAAAUUUUGGAAACCCUAGAAUCCGAUUUUGGGGAUUUUAAUUAAUUAAUUGUGGAAGUGAUUAUAUAAAUGGAAUAUUUCAUUUGGGAGUUGAUUUUAAGGAGCAAAUGUAUAUUAGAUGGGUGGAAAUUAUGGUCACUAGUUUCAUUAAAUUGGAAAGUAAAAUUAGUUUUAACUUGGGAAGAAGGUUUUGUUGAUAAAUUAAUUAUUAGAAAAGGGAUUAGAAAGUGGGAUUAGCUCCAUUGAUCAAAAGAAUAUUUGGGAAUUCAUUCGAGCAUCGACCAAUUUUGGUUAAGUAUUAUAGAAGUAGAUUUUAAAGUUUCUUAAUUUAAUAGUAGUUGAUUAGCCAUCUUGUUAUGUAUUCCAGGUGGUGACGAGGAAGUUGGAAGAGCCUAUCGACCAGUUUAGGUUCAGCUUGUGUUAUAUAGAAGCUGCGUUGAGCCAUAUCAGAGCCUGUCGUUCGACGAGUUGAGCUUCAUCGUGUCCUUGUUUGUAUGUCUCAUUUUGUUAAUUCAUACAACAUAUAUUUUGGGGGUUAAUGUAUUUUGUAUCAAAAAUGUAUUAAGUCUCAUACCCAUUGCAUAUUUUGUGUAUGUUUUGAAAUGGUAAAUUUCUUUUUCAGUACAACUCCUUGAAGAAUUAGUAUUUUGAA